rnacentral:tRNA from 1 species
GCCGGAGUGGCGGAAUUGGUAGACGCACAGGACUUAAAAUCCUGCGGAGGGUUGCCUCCGUGCCGGUUCGAGUCCGGCCUCCGGUAUCA